rnacentral:lncRNA from 1 species
CCAUUCGAUACUUUGAUCCUGUUCGGAAGAGAAGCUCCACAUUUUGUAUCAAGAUGAAGGCUGCUGUUAUUCUUGCUGUUCUUGCUGCGGUGCUGUGCGCCAGCACUGUCAACUGUGACUGCAUUUGUUCCCGCAUCCUUGACCCUGUCUGUGACACCGCCGGCAACUACUACGACAACGCGUGCCUGUUGAACUGCGUUGAGGAUGCGGUCCAGGCCGCAGAAGGCGUCUACACCGUCAGUGCCAACUCUUGCGUUGCUGCCAGGAAGUAGAUGACCUUCACCUUUGACCAAAUGGAGCUUCCCCGACCACAGAAGCACAUAUUGCUUCAGCAAUAAAAUGUAGAAGCAAA